UACGGGGGGAGCAAGCGUUGUUCGGAUUUACUGGGCGUAAAGGGCGCGUAGGCGGUCAGCACAAGUCAGUUGUGAAAUCUCCGGGCUUAACUCGGAAAGGUCAACUGAUACUGUGCGACUAGAGUGCGGAAGGGGCAACUGGAAUUCUCGGUGUAGCGGUGAAAUGCGUAGAGAUCGGGAGGAACAUCAGUGGCGAAGGCGGCCAUCUGGGACAACACUGACGCUGAAGCACGAAAGCGUGGGGAGCAAACAGG
rnacentral:rRNA from 1 species